AUCAACUUUCGAUGGUAGGAUAGAGGCCUACCAUGGUGGUAACGGGUAACGGGGUGUUAGGGCACGACACCGGAGAGGGAGCCUGAGAAACGGCUACCACAUCCAAGGAUGGCAGCAGGCGCGCAAAUUACCCAAUCCCGACACGGGGAGGUAGUGACAAUAAAUAACAAUACGGGGUCCUUUCGGGUUUCGUAAUUGGAAUGAGUACAAUUUAAAUCUCUUAACGAGGAACAAUUGGAGGGCAAGUCUGGUGCCAGCAGCCGCGGUAAUUCCAGCUCCAAUAGCGUAUAUUAAAGUUGUUGCAGUUAAAAAGCUCGUAGUUGAAUUUCGGGGUCAGUUCGCUGGUCGUGCCUUCGGUAUGUACUGGUGUUACUGGUUCCUACCUUCUGACGAACCGUCAUGUCAUUAAUUUGGUGUGGCGGGAAAUCAGGACUGUUACUUUGAAAAAAUUAGAGUGUUUAAAGCAGGCUCGCGCUUGAAUACAUUAGCAUGGAAUAAUGAAAUAGGACGUUCGAUCCUAUUUUGUUGGUUUCUAGGAUUGACGUAAUGAUUAAUAGGGAUAGUUGGGGGCAUUAGUAUUCAAUUGUCAGAGGUGAAAUUCUUGGAUUUAUUGAAGACUAACUACUGCGAAAGCAUUUGCCAAGGAUGUUUUCAUUAAUCAAGAACGAAAGUUAGGGGAUCGAAGACGAUCAGAUACCGUCGUAGUCUUAACCAUAAACUAUGCCGACUAGGGAUCGGAUGAUGUUAUUUUUAAUGACUCAUUCGGCGCCUUACGGGAAACCAAAGUGUUUGGGUUC
rnacentral:rRNA from 1 species